AUUCAAAUAGCUUAUAUUUAGAGUAUGACACUGAAGAUGUUAGGGAGAUUGAUUUAAUCUUUGAAUA
rnacentral:tRNA from 2 species